UCCACCUACAUCCACACCUCUACCUACAUCCACCUCUAACCCUCCAUUGAGCUUGUCAAUUGUUGUAUCGGUCUGUGUGGUGGUUCUACUGGUCCUGUUAGUGCUACUGAUUUUGUUGGUAAAACGACUUCUUCAUCGAAAACCUGAAACAGAUCAAAGCGACACUGAAGAAGAUGACAACACAGACGAUGUCAUAUACAGUGAAAUCACAUUAUCCCAACGACCAACACAAACCUCCAAAGAAAACAGAGAUAAAGGCACGACUGACAUCGCAGACGAUAUCACAUACAGUGAAAUGAAAAUAUCACAUCGUCGGCAACAACCAAUCAAACAAAG